UGUCUUAACCUCAGAAUGGAAGGCAGGGGAUGAGUUGUGUUGGGGACGAGAAUAUUCUUUUGUAUCAAUCAACAGGAGAAGAAAAACUAUGGAUUCAUCAAAAUUAAUAAAAACCAGAUUUGACCGGGGAGACCUCCUGAAGAUCCUGACUACAGACAGGAAGAAUGAAAUCAAGUCGAUCAACAAAAUAGUUCUAGGUAUCCCCUUCAAAUGCCAUAUGUUUCAGAAAAUGUUUACAACUACAUUCAAUGAAUAUUCAAGUUUUUGGAUGAAUUAUUUGAAAUCACUGAAAGCCAGUAAGUUAAAGAAAUAUGGAUUCCCAUUCAUGUGACUCCACAGAACCUCAGCAACCACCUUUGGAAGAUGAAACAGACAAAGUUAAGAGGACAUAGCAGAUACCUCAGUGACAACACCGGCAGCUACCGUGGAGCCACCAUAACGCAGCAUAAACCGC